GCCUGUGCCUUUAAGAGCAGCUCACAGCCUAUAGCACUGAACUGGGAUAAAAUAAGGUGCGCCUGUACCUUUAAGAGCAGCUCACAGUCUAUAGCACUGGACUGGGAUAAAAUAAGGUGUGCCUGUACCUUUAAGAGCAGCUCACAGGCUAUAGCACUGAACUGGGAUAAAAUAAGGUGUGCCUGUGCCUUUAAGAGCAGCUCACAGCCUAUAGCACUGAACUGGGAUAAAAUAAGGUGCGCCUGUGCCUUUAAGAGCAGCUCACAGCCUAUAGCACUGGACUGGGAUAAAAUAAGGUGCGCCUGUACCUUUAAGAGCAGCUCACAGCCUAUAGC